UGCUAGAGAGUAGUGGAGCCACAUGAAAUCUGUUGCAGAGAGUGGAGCAGGGUAGUGGCCAUUGUUGUGACUUGCCAGAGAGUUUGGAUCUAUCGGCUGGAGCUUGGCUGGGACAUCUGAUGGAGCAGGAUGGCUCUCUAUCCCGUCAAUCUGAGAGAAGCUCGGAUAUCUCCGAGGCUGCUAACGAGUCUACUGUUAUCGGAUACCUUAGGCGCUGAUACUACAGGCGGGAGUCAUCUGCUG
rnacentral:lncRNA from 1 species